ACUCAGAAUAAGAAGAAAAAAGGCAGCAGGAUGAGCCUGUCUCCAAACAGCUUUAAACCCCGUGUACGUGCGAGGAAAUCAAACGGAGAAAGUGAUACGGCUCAGGGCUUGAAAGUGAGAAGACGCGCGUGAAAUUUCACCGUGCACCAGUGCUGCGAGGGAAUGAAAGGCUCCCUCCAGAUGGCUGGCUGGCUGCCGGUUUGUGACACGGGCAGGUGAGGCAGGUGGUGAAACGCUCAGGGUGUCAGCAGCAGUUCAGUUCUCGGAAAGGUCAGAGAGCCUAAACUUGAACCCUCCGCAUUGCCACGCCUGCUGCCAACCCCUGUUUGACCCGACGUCCUGCCAAGAAACCCACUGAGGAGAGAGCUUAACCGGUUACAGCUGUGGAGUGGAUGGAGGAAGCUUCCAAGGCGGUACUCUGCCUGCGCGGAGGCUUGUUGGCCAGAGGAGCAGGUCUGUGGAGGCAAAGAAGAGCCUACAACUUAGAGCGUGUCAGAAUCCCCCUUCAAAACGUUCCUUGGCGGAUGGGAGUUUCCAUACAGAGCAUUUUCUCCUCAGAGGCAUCAACAGACCAGGAAGUGAAGACCUUCAUGGUGGACGGUUCAUGGUAGAGAAUACUCUCCAGGAUACCGUUAGGUGAAUCGACCAUCGCAGAUUCUCGAUGGAUGGUCCCACAUGGUCCUGUCAGAGGCCUGGAAUUGAGGAUAGAAGUUUUACUUUAAUAUUUAAAGUUAGUCAUUUUUAUUUGGUGUACUGCACGUCAAGUUGCAUUAGGAGUUUUUCUCUGAUUAACUAAGUACAGGCAGUCCCCAGGUUACUAAUGAGAUCCGUUCACUAAGUCUGUCUUUGAGUCAAAUUUGUAGGUAAGCUGGAGAUAUACAGUAAUAAUACAUAAUAAUAAUAAUGACUAUAGAGUAAUAAUCAAGGUAAUAACAUUAUUGCACCGAUCCUUGAGCCAAUGAACCGCUGAAGCCGCACAAUGUUUUCUCACAUGUCACAAAGUAGUGCGUGGAUUCAUUAUUAUGAACCAUUAUAUUUAACCUGAAUUUUUAAUUUACUAGUCUUUAUGGCAGCCUGUUUGUAUAGUUGUCUUUAAGUCAGUCGUCCUUAACCCUGGGGGUAGGCCUCUUCGCAGUCAUAUUUCUCUGCAUAUGCGUUUAAUUAGAAAUAUUUUUGUCAUUUUUUUUUUUAAAAAAAAGGCUGGACAGACAUUAAACUAAAUGACUUAAUUAAUAAACAUAGCUUACAUAACUAAUGGGAGUUUUUUUCAGAGUUGAUUACUAACCACGCAGAAAUUGUUGUUUCAGUACAGUGCAUUGCAGUAAUUAACGCACAUUACCUCCGAACAAUCUGAGCGUAUUAUAAAAUCUGAGUGAGUUAUAAAAAGAAAAUAGAUUGCUCUUUGCAGCAUUCUGCUAUUGUGGUUUGUGAAAUAUUUGUGUUGCUAAGCAUUUUCCACUUCAAUGUAAUAUUUUCCAGCUGAUCUACAAAUUAUGUCUUUCUCAUCCACCCUCUCUUAGGUUUAUUGAUAGCAGUCUUAAUGGGCACUAAUUACAUACUGAGUCAUAGUAAAAUAAGAACGGCCAUUACAGAGAUUCACAGUCUUCAGGAAAGUCUGUACAAAGUGUUCGAGUGAACGAUCAGCACCAAACCAAAUAGCUGUACCUUCCUGAGACCUUCAGUACACAGCUGGGUCUGCUGCUGCUAUUAAGCAAAAAAGACAGUGAGGGAGAUGUACUUUGUGAAUCAUGCUGCAGGACAGCGUACGGCUGAAAAUAUCAGUCGAGAGCCUCAAAAGCCCAUAAAUGAAAGGCCUACACUGCAACCUGACAGCUUUGAUCUAUUACAGCAACCCGCCAGUGCAGGGUGACUCCAUGACAGACGCCAAGGCCGUGAAGCCUGAUGAGAUGUCUGUGGGCACCAUUUACAGGUACAGUGCACAGCAGUUAAACCCAGAGGCAUUUUUAAAAAGGUUCCUGUUUGUUUACCAGGAGCCCCCCCCAGAGGGGAUGGGCAGGCAAAAGAAACAAUGGCAUUGUUCAUGAGCUACCUCUUGGAAGAUCAGGGUUCAUCCUGCUCAGAUCUGCACCUCUCUGACUGCAGCCCAAAUGUCAAGAGCCUUGGCGAGCUACUGAUCCGAGCAGCCGCCUUCCGGAAUGCUGCUGCUUAAUGAGCGCAAAUCCUGUCCGCUUUCAUAAAUUGUACAUGUGUUUCAUUUUACCUAAAACCGCGCCAAAAUAUAAUCAAACCAAGUGAAACAAAACAGAGUGGU